GGGGAUAGCUCGGGGAAACUCGAAUUAAUACCGCAUACGACCUAUGGGUGAAAGGGGGCGCAAGCUCUUGCUAUUAGAUGAGCCUAAAUCAGAUUAGCUAGUUGGUGGGGUAAAGGCCCACCAAGGCGACGAUCUGUAACUGGUCUGAGAGGAUGAUCAGUCACACCGGAACUGAGACACGGUCCGG
rnacentral:rRNA from 1 species